GCUGAGUUGGUAGAGCGCUCCACUGGGAUUGGAGAGGUCCCUGGUUCAAUACCAGG
rnacentral:tRNA from 1 species